UAGUCAUAUGCUUGUCUCAAAGGUUAAGCCAUGCACGUUUAAGUAUCAGCAAUUGUACAGCAAAACUGCGAAAGGCUCAUUAUAAAAGUUUUAGUCUAUUUGGUGUUUUACAUAUGGAUAACUGUGGCAAUUCUAGAGCUAAUACAUGUUUCCCGCAAGGGUCCAUUGUUAGAUACAGAACCAAAGGUCGCGAUAUUGUGAUCCUCAGUUGAAUCAUAGUAAUUGGAUAAUCAUACUUACGUGUGAUGAACCAUUCGAGUUUCUGACCUAUCAGCUUUCGACGGUAGGGUUUUGGCCUACCGUGGCUUUAACGGGUGACGGGGGAUUAGGGUUUGAUUCCGGAGAGGGAGCCUUAGAAAUGGCUACCACAUCUAAGGAAGGCAGCAGGCGCGCAAAUUACCCAAUCCUAAUACGGGGAGGUAGUGACUAGAAAUAACAACUCAGGGCCUUUAUGUGCUUUGUGAUUGGAAUGAUCGGACGGUAAAAGUGUCGUGAGAGUAUCGAUUGGAGGGCGAGUCUGG
rnacentral:rRNA from 1 species